AGCGUUACACAUUAAAUCAAACUAAAAAUAAGAUGUCCGCCAGGGUACUACGAGCAUUAGCUUAAAACCCAAAGGACCUGACGGUGUCUCAGAUCCCCCUAGAGGAGCCUGUUCUAGAACCGAUAACCCCCGUUAAACCUCACCACCCCUAGCCAUCCCAGCCUAUAUACCGCCGUCGUCAGCUUACCCUGUGAAGGUAAUAAAAGUAAGCAAAAUGGAUACAACCCAGAACGUCAGGUCGAGGUGUAGCGCAUGAGGUGGAAAGAAAUGGGCUACAUUUUCUGCCACAGAACAUUACGAAUAUGUACCAUGAAAUGGUACUUGAAGGAGGAUUUAGUAGUAAAAAGGAAAUAGAGUGUCCUUUUGAACCCGGCUCUGAGACGCGUACACACCGCCCGUCCCCCCUCUAUA
rnacentral:rRNA from 1 species